UACGUAGGGUGCAAGCGUUGUCCGGAAUUAUUGGGCGUAAAGAGCUCGUAGGCGGUUUGUCGCGUCGGCCGUGAAAUCUCCACGCUUAACGUGGAGCGUGCGGUCGAUACGGGCAGACUUGAGUUCGGUAGGGGAGACUGGAAUUCCUGGUGUAGCGGUGAAAUGCGUAGAUAUCUGGAGGAACACCGGUGGCGAAGGCGGCAUCCUGGACCGGCAUUGACGCUGAGGCGCGAAAGCGUGGGGAGCGAACAGG
rnacentral:rRNA from 1 species